ACAACCGAUCCUAUAUUCUUAAACACUACAUCCCCUUUUUCUUUCACUCUCGAUAAACUUGACGAUUACUUUUUCAUCUGCACCAUCCCCGGCCACUGCUCCGCCGGCCAGAAAUUGGCCAUCACCAACCUCCAACAAUCGCCCCCACCUACCUCUCCCAGUACUCCUCCCGUUCCCGGUAACGAGCCAACACCAACACCACCUGCCUCCCCUGAUUCUCCACCCAUUUCGAAUGAAAUGCCACCGCCCGUCCCAGUUAUUGCUGCUCCGCCGCCACCAAACUCCGCCACCAGUAUUGUGGGCUCUAUAUUCACUGUUGCCUUCGUCUCCAUCGCUGUCAGCUUCAUAAUA
rnacentral:lncRNA from 1 species